UACAGAGGUCUCAAGCGUUGUUCGGAUUCAUUGGGCGUAAAGGGUGCGUAGGUGGCGCCGUAAGUCGGGGUGUGAAAUUUCGGAGCUUAACUCCGAAACUGCAUUCGAUACUGCGGUGCUUUGAGGACUGGAGAGGAGACUGGAAUUCAUGGUGUAGCAGUGAAAUGCGUAGAGAUCAUGAGGAAGACCAGUGGCGGAAGGCGGGUCUCUGGACAGUUCCUGACACUGAGGCACGAAGGCCAGGGGAGCAAACGGG
rnacentral:rRNA from 1 species